rnacentral:rRNA from 1 species
UACAGAGGUCUCAAGCGUUGUUCGGAUUCAUUGGGCGUAAAGGGUGCGUAGGCGGCGCGGUAAGUCGGGUGUGAAAUCUCGGAGCUUAACUCCGAAACUGCAUUCGAUACUGCCGUGCUUGAGGACUGGAGAGGAGACUGGAAUUUAUGGUGUAGCAGUGAAAUGCGUAGAGAUCAUAAGGAAGACCAGUGGCGAAGGCGGGUCUCUGGACAGUUCCUGACACUGAGGCACGAAGGCCAGGGGAGCAAACGGG